rnacentral:misc_RNA from 1 species
GUACUCUCACUCUCCCGAUACUUUUGGAUCGGGAGUGGUGGACUUGGGUGCUGCUGCUUAACUGUGGCUCGCCUUAAAUGAAGUAGUGCAACUCUCGGUUGGACAUAGUACGGCGUGAUAAGUGUCUUCGCCGGCGCCUCAUUCGAGGGUGGCCGAUCGGGAGCUCUGUGCUUCAAACUGUCUUCGGACAACAUCUGACA